rnacentral:rRNA from 1 species
UGGCGGACGGGCGAGUAACGCGUGGAAAACCUGCCGUAUACUGGGGGAUAACACUUAGAAAUAGGUGCUAAUACCGCAUAAGCGCACAGCUUCGCAUGAAGCGGUGUGAAAAACUCUGGUGGUAUACGAUGGUUCCGCGUCUGAUUAGCUAGUUGGUGGGGUAAUGGCCUACCAAGGCAACGAUCAGUAGCCGGCCUGAGAGGGUGAACGGCCACAUUGGGACUGAGACACGGCCCAAACUCCUACGGGAGGCAGCAG